CUACAGGAAAAAGUAUGAAAACGGGAUCACUAUCCACAAGCUUGUGGAGAGGGUUGGAAGUGAGAACGAAAACCACCCGUUUUUCUGAAGAAAGUGAUGGGAAAUUACCCCAAGAAGUAAAAACUGACAGAAAAGAGAAGAGAAGAGAAGAUGGGAAAAAUAUGGGAGACAUCGAUCUUAUCCAUUAACAAAAAGUACGUUUUGGCGCAAGAACAGAGCGUUGACGCUCAAAGGUUGGUGACAAUGACCGGAACCAUAGCGCGGUUCGUGGCACGGCGUUAGGCCCGUUGUCAAUUGUAUUGGCCCACGUGUUACGAAGCCUUGUAAUCCAGGAAAGCCCAUGGGCUGCCGUAACUACGUAAUCUUAUUUUCGAUUGAUUUUGUUAUAUUUAAAAAUAGUUUCAUAUUUAGUUAAAAUAUGUUUCGGUAAUUGAAAAAAUAAUCAAACGAAAAGACCAGCAAGUCAAAUUAUAUUUAAUUAAAAUAUUUACAACUUUUAUUGUAAAUUUAAAUUUGUUAUUAGUAAAAAACACAAAUAUUCUAAAAAUUAUUAAAUUUUAUUUUUUGAAAGUCACCCUAAAAGUAUAAUCAUUAUUUGUUUAUAGUAAGACGUGAAUCUAUCCCUAAAAAGUUUGUAUGAGUAAAGAAUUAUAGUGAGACUUAUUCUAAGACCGUUAUAUGCAAACAAAAAAUAGGACAGUCUACUCUAAUUUUUUUACUGUCGAGAUUUGUUUUGUUAUAUGCUCAGCCAAGUAAACAUAAAAAACAAGUCACAUUUUCGAAAAAAUAAAAGAUAAGUCAUUGGUCCAAUUUUGUAUUUAUCUUUUCCUAAUCUUACGUUUUUAGUAAAAUUGAUAGUGUAAAUCGUGUGCAUAUUAAACAUAUCAUAUUCGUAAAAUUAGGUUAGAGGAUUUGUGGAUCAGAGUCAAUUUCUCGACUAAAAUGACACCGACUAUAAAAGACUCCAAACCAACACCUUGUCUUUAUCUUCUAUCAACCACCUUCGAUUCGAUCAACUCGAUUUUCAAUCUAUCAGCACAAUACCAAGAUUCUAAAAUGAACUAAUGUGAAGAUUCCUAUGAAGAAUAGUUUCAUGAUAGACAAUAAUGAAGAGAAUAUUGUAAAUUCUCGUAUAAUGUAAUUGAUAGAAAGAAUGUUAUUUAUAGCCACGUGUUAAUUCGUAGUCAAUUGUUGAGUCAAAAAAUGAAUUGGAAGGCUCAUUUUCAAUUUUGGAUUGCCUAAUAUUUGACUUUAGAGACCAAAAGGUUUAUCAUAUAGUAAGGAUAUGUAUUAAUUUAAUGGCCCUUUAUAUAUAGGUCGGUUGGACAAGAUUGUGAGGAUUUAUUAUCAAAUCACUUUAUAAUGAUAUUUCAACCUUUACCACCCAUACAUUAAACACAAUAAUCAAAACUAAAAACAUAAAUAAUAAAACCAUAUUCCCACUCAACUUAAUCAUAUUUCUAUAUUCCUCUACUCAAUUUCACGUUUAAUUCAUUUUUUAAAAUUAAGUAUUUAUUUAAUCUAUAAAUGUAUUGAAUCCAAUCAGUAUAUAACUAUUUUUGGGAUUUUUAGAUUUUGCUUAAAUUUAAAAAUAAUUUCAAAACUACUAAGUUAUAAAACUCAAUUAUGAAAUAUAUGUAUCUUUUUAUAUCGUAUACAAACGCUACAAAUUUAUAUGAAAGAUUUUUCAUGCAUAUAUUAAAAUUAAAAUAGUUGUAUUCACUUAUAUAUUCAAGAUCGUAUUCAUUAAUCAAUUCUAAACUAUUAUUAUUGGUCUUAAUUUAACUUAGACAUCGUUUAAUAAUCUCAUAUUAUUUGACAUUUUUUCAAACGGUAAAUAUCUUUAUUUAUUUUAUUUUAAUUAUUUUCAACUUACAUACUUUUUUGCUCAAUUGAGCUCUAUCCAUUCUCUCUUCAUAGAUGCAACUUUUCAAAUAGUUUAGGGUAAAUUACAAGUUUAAUAUUAAAAAAUUAAGAUUUUACCCUAAUUUGGUAUCUAAAUUUUUAAAAAUUAGGUAACUAAACUUCCACAAAUAUUAUAUAGUCAAGUUUACAUUUAAUAAGCCUUUUGAUUUAAGAUUUAAAUUUUUGAUAUUAAUGAUAAUGUCGAUCUUAAUUUUACGAUAAUAAAAAUAUUGUAAAAGUACGUGAACAUCCAAAUACUUGUAUCAAUUUUAAAGAAGAAGUUACAAUUUAUUAUUUUAUAAACAAAUUAACAAGUUUAUUACUUAGAUUCUAUCUACCUAAGUAACCAUUGUUAUGAUUUUUUUUACAUAUUUAAAUGUCUACAAAAAGAAAAAAAAACAAUUCAAAUUUAUAUCUAAUUCAUUACUUAUUGUAAACUUGAAAGAUUAGCUCAUCUAAUUGGCCACUAAUUUGAAAAGUUUUUGACAAAUUGAAAGUUAAGCAAUUUAUUAGAUAAUACAAAAUCAAUAGUGUUUAUAAAAAUUCAACUAAGCCCACUCUUCUCCAUGUCUUCCUUUUUGAUUCCCAAUCAAUCAAUCUCAAGAAACAGCAACACUAGAGUUUGAUUGGAUGAACCACUAACAAAAAAAUAAAAUGAUGUUAGAACAAUCUUUGUUUUUUCUGGUUUCAGUGUGAAAAAGAAACAUGAAAUCUUGAAGAGAAAGUAAAUACAAAGAUUUGGACGAAAGGAAAAGCAAUUGAACAUGAAUUUGAAAGUGAAGUUUCCAAUCCAAAUUUCAUUUCUUUUAACCUAAUCCAAUCAAAUACAACAACAAUACAAUUUACCCACAAAAAUCAAAGAAACGAAACCCAGAGAUUUUUCUUCAGGUUUUUCAGAUUCCCAAAUUCCAAAAAGAAAAAAAGAAAAAACCCAUCAAAUUGUUUUUUGAUUUUUGUUUACCCAUUAGCUACUUUUUCUGGGUUUGUUCUUUCGCCUUCCUCUGCUUCUCGAACCAUCCCCUGUUUUGGGUUCUUCUUCUUUCGAACCUUCUAUCAUGGAACCCAGCGCCGCUUCAUCCACAGUGCCUUUAAUUUUCUUCUCCGGUGGAUUUUCUGCAACUUCCAGCAACGGCGGCGGCGGCUUCUUGCUCUCCUGCUCGUUUUGUUGUUCCUCGAGAACCUUACGAGGUCGGCCCCUUUUUCUAGGCUGUAUGGGUUGGCCGAUGAUACCAUCAUCGGCUAAUUUGGAGGUGGAGGUUUCAGCUAUGGCGACUGCAAUCUCCUUAGUUUUCUGGGUUUUUUUCUUACCCAUCAAACAAACGAGGAAACGGAAGAGAAAUUAAGGGACCCAAAUGAAAACCCACAGAAUCGGAAGGUUUGUUCAAUAGAAAAUCGAAGCGAAAUCCAUCGGCGGAGUUUGGAAGAAAGGGGAAGAAGGGGGAAAAGUUGGAGAAAAGUAGUAGUAGAAGAAGAAAACAAAAACGUCAAAUCUUUGUAGCCAAUCCACUGCUGCAAAAUUCUACUAUGGCUCUAAAAAAAGGGGGCGAUUGUGAGAAGAGCCCUACUAUACAGCACAGACCGAGUUGAAAUGGGAGUUUUGAUGGCCUUUGGGGGGAUUUUGAUUCAUUCAUUCAUUGCAUUUUUGGGGAAACUAACCCUUUUUGGAACAAAAGGGUCUCUCAUGGACUCAAUUUUAGGCUAAUGAUAUCUU
rnacentral:lncRNA from 1 species